UGAGAUGUAGCUCAGUGGUAGAGCGCUUGACUGGCAUGCAUGAGGCCCUGGGUUCAAUCCCAGUACUGCCA
rnacentral:tRNA from 1 species